rnacentral:rRNA from 1 species
AUUGAACGCUGGCGGCAUGCUUUACACAUGCAAGUCGAACGGCAGCGGGGUAGUGCUUGCACUACUGCCGGCGAGUGGCGAACGGGUGAGUAAUAUAUCGGAACGUACCGAGUAAUGGGGGAUAACCAAUCGAAAGAUUGGCUAAUACCGCAUACGUCCUGAGGGAGAAAGCGGGGGAUCGCAAGACCUCGCGUUAUUCGAGCGGCCAAUAACUGAUUAGCUAGUUGGUGGGGUAAAGGCCUACCAAGGCGACGAUCAGUAGCGGGUCUGAGAGGACGAUCCGCCACACUGGGACUGAGACACGGCCCAGACUCCUACGGGAGGCAGCAGUGGGGAAUUUUGGACAAUGGGGGCAACCCUGAUCCAGCCAUGCCGCGUGUAUGAAGAAGGCCUUCGGGUUGUAAAGUACUUUUGUUAGGGAAGAAAAGGGAAGUGCUAAUACCACUUUUUGCUGACGGUACCUAAAGAAUAAGCACCGGCUAACUACGUG